UACGUAGGGUGCAAGCGUUGUCCGGAAUUAUCGGGCGUAAAGAGCUUGUAGGCGGUUUGUCGCGUCUGCUGUGAAAUUUCGGGGCUCAACCCCGAACUUGCAGUGGGUACGGGCAGACUAGAGUGUGGUAGGGGAGACUGGAAUUCCUGGUGUAGCGGUGAAAUGCGCAGAUAUCAGGAGGAACACCGAUGGCGAAGGCGACUUCCUGGACCAAUACUGACGCUCAUGUGCGAAAGCGUGGGGAGCAAACAGG
rnacentral:rRNA from 1 species